GAGAGUCUUUGUUUGCAUCUUUCCUCUCAGAAUGACAUCAUCAUUCUACUGAUGAUGUCACGGUCUGAUGUCACUGACCAGGAGCUGCUGGACUUGUACAUUUCCAGCAUGGAGGACAGAGAAGAUCUCAGCUCUGAUGAGGAGCUGGCCUGCCUUCAAACUGAUUCAGGUCAAAGAAACAUUUCCAGAUGAAGUCAGACUAAAAUGUUGGAUUGUCCUGCUGCUGCAAUCAGACAGAAGAAGAAGAAGCUUCAAGUUCUUCUCCUGUUCAGCUCCACGUUCCUGUCAGAGACUUCAGCUCCUCAUGAGGAGAACAACUAAAGCCUGGAACAGACUGACACCAACAUCCUGACAUCUCAUCCUGAACAAAGCUUUGCAGCAUCAAGGUGACUCUUAGCUCCAUAUAUGGACAUAUUUCCUGUAAAGGGGGCGGAGCCUGGAUUGGAGGAACCAGCAGCAGCUUCCAGGAACAAACCUUGGGAACCUCUGGAGGAGAACAUGGAGAUGAGAUUCCUGCUUUAAUCAGAGGAUUCAUUGGUAGAAAACAUGACGACUGAAAUAUCUGAGAGCUGCAGCUCCAUUUUCUACAGAUCAGCUGGAACAUCAGAGAGAAAUGAAGAAUUUCAUCAUUUCACAUCAAAUCUGUUAAUCUUCCACAGAAACAACUGAAUUAUUGACCUGAACUGGUUCUAAAGGUCUGGAUGGUAAAAACAUUCACAUUAAUUUUAAUACAUCAGUAAUGAGCCAUUUAUUGAACAAUGCUGCAGAUAAAUCAUGUUUUAUUGUGUUUCUCUCUAUGACAGUUUAGAUCUAGAUUUGUGAUUCUAUGCAUCAGAAUCUCAGGAUGACCUGCGUCACUCUAUCAGUCCUUAACUACAGUUAUUUUCAAUAAAUUAGAAUAUUUAUGAAAAGUAUUUCAGUAACUCAGCUCACACAUCAUGCAGAUUAAUUCCCCACAAACUGUUUUAAGGCUUUGAUUUGUUAAUGAUGAUUUGUUGCUUACAACUCAUGAAAACAUGACAUUUCUGAUCAGAUUACAGACCAAUAAAAAACCUUAAUGCAGAAAUGAGGGUCUGAAGAAAAAUAUGUUUAAUAUCUGCUGAAGUUGUUUUAAAUCUGACAAACGAGCCUCAUGGGAACCAUAUUCUAAUUUAUUGAAUAUGACUGUAAAUGUAAAUAUGAGAUGGAGAUUAUUGGCAUUAAUUCAGUAACCCGGAUGUGGAGGAGUUUAACGUUACUGGGACAUUCAUGGCAGGAGACGCUGCGCUCCACGCGCUCCGACCGCAGUAACCAAUGCUACUGCCAGUUCAUGCUAGCUUACAGCUAUUUAAUGUGUUUAUUUAUUAUAGUCGAUUUAAACAAGAAGCUGGUGAUGUAGCAAGUCUGUAAAAAAAGUGUAGAUUUCACCUCAAAUCCAUUCUCACUAUAUAUGUAUAUUUGUUUUUCUUUUCUGAAUUGUAUUUUAUUUUGGUGGUGACGCUUUUAUUUUCUUGCUUCCUGUUUGUGUCAUUUCCUGUGUGUUCCCGAUGAUCUCCUCAGUUCGGCGCCGAGCUGCGCUGGGGAGAGGUAAGCGUAUAAAGUUGUCUUCUGUUUAUGUGUUAAAAUAUUCGAAAUGUUCUUAAAAGUAUGUUCACUAAGCUCACAACUUGUUAUAUUUUGUUGUUAAAUUGUUUUAUGUGUAGCGCAGCACACUAUUGGGUAUUUAAUUCCCACAUUAAAGACAAUUAUCAAGUUUACCAUGCAAAUGUGGUUAUCUUUGUUCUUUUGGUUGGUUAUGGUCUGUGUGGGGAGGCCGGAGCCCGGGAACUGCUGUGCUAAAUGCAUUUUUAUUUUGAACAGAAUAAACCUGCCUUUCUGCUACAACACACCGUGGGUCCUCGACUGUUGGUUUCUUUCUUUACCUACACACACAACGCAGAGUACAUGCAACAGAUGAGUCGGAUGGUAGCGGCUACAUCAAACAUUCAGUGUUGCAGAAAAGUGUGAA